UACGUAGGGGGCAAGCGUUGUCCGGAUUUAUUGGGCGUAAAGAGCUCGUAGGUGGUUCGGUAAGUCGGAUGUGAAAUCUCCAGGCUCAACCUGGAGGGGUCAUUCGAUACUGCCGUGACUAGAGUUCGGUAGGGGAGUGUGGAAUUCCUGGUGGAGCGGUGAAAUGCGCAGAUAUCAGGAGGAACACCCGUAGCGAAGGCGGCACUCUGGGCCGAUACUGACACUGAGGGAGCGAAAAGCGUGGGGGAGCGAACAGG
rnacentral:rRNA from 1 species